UCCGGUAUAGCUCAGUGGAAAGAGCAUCCGCCUUCUAAGCGGACAAGCACAGGUUCGACUCCUGUUACCGGAG
rnacentral:tRNA from 1 species